GUGUGUUCCUUCUGCCAACAAACUGAAACUUCCCAGCACUUGUUCUUUGACUGUCCUGUUGCCAGAGUUGUUUGGCGAUCUAUUGGGGUGACACUUGGGACUAAUCUUUGCCCCAGAAACUGCUGGCAGUUCUUUGUGUGGUGCUACUCCUUCCUACCUGGAUAUGAGCCCUUCUAUAUUGUGGCUUUGGGCGUGGCUACUUGGUCUAUCUGGCUAGCAUGGAAUAGUGCUACCUUUGAGAAGAAGAUGAUUAAAUCCCCUUUCGAGAUUAUUUUUAUGGUGGUUUCCUUUGUUCUAUAUUGGGCAGGUCUUCAGGUUGGAGAUGACGUCAAGCAACUUCGAGCAGGGGCGGAGAUGAUUCGCAAUGGAACUCUGAUGCUGAUGAAGGCUUGUGAUGUGACAAGCAAGGUUGGAGACUGA
rnacentral:rRNA from 1 species